UGAAACAAAACCAUCAAAGUAAGGUCAUUU
rnacentral:piRNA from 1 species